CUUUCUGCUAUGACAAGGCACCACUGAGUUCAGUGCAGCGUCUCACAAUUGCUGCACUCUUCCUCUCCAAAGUACACAGAUUCAUUCUCCAUGCCAUGCAGCAGCUGCCAGGGAAUACGGGGGGAAGAGUGGCAUCAGUGAUUCAAGACUGUCUCCUACCCUCUUCAGUGCCUCUUUCAGCAAUAUGAAUUUAAAACUAGUUACAGGGUAUCAAGGAGAAGAAUAAACAUCACCCAAGAACUUUUCUUUCUUUUCUGAGGAAAGGGCCUUUGGACUCACACUGGAACUAACACCAUUGGCUUUCCUCAGUCUCCGGCCUUUGCACUUGGACUAGAAUUCUAUCAUUGGCUCUCCUAUGUCUCCACCUUGCCAAAUGAAGAUCUUGGGACUUCUCAGACUUCAUAAUCAUACAGAGUCUCACCUUGUGGCCCAGACUGGAAUACAGUGGUGCAAACAUGGCUCACUGCAGCCUUGACCUCCUGGGCUCAAGCGAUCUUCCCACCUCAGCCCCCUAAGUAGCUGGGACUACAGGUGUGCACCACUAUGCCCAGCUAAUUUUUGUAUUUUGGUAGAGAUGGGGUUUCUUCAUGUUACCCAGGCUGGUCUUAAACUCCUGAGUUAAGCCAUCCUCCUGACUCAGCCUCCCAAAGUGCUGGGAUUACAGGUGUGAGCCAUGGUGCCCAGCUACAUUUUCAUACUUUGUGUUUAAGCCAGGUAAAUGAAUACCUACUCAAACAAUUUUGAUACAUGUUUUUAAGUGAAAAAAAAAAACUCCUAAUCAUAACUAAAGAGUGAAAUAGGAAGGUUAUGUAAACAAUUUGCCAACUUGCAGAAAUAAAUUUCACUGGUAAAUCUGUUCAUAAUUUUUGUAUAUACUUAAAUAUCACUUUAAGAGGAAAAUGCAUUUGUGAUCUCUUCAGCCUAGGUCAAAUUCUUCUGUCAUAUACUUAUGACACUUAUAUCCAUUUACUUAUGACACAUAUCCAUUUAUACAUAUAUCCAUUUUGUACUUCCUUGGAGCACUCUUAAUAAUUAGUUAAAUAAUCAACUACCAAGAAAUUAAUCUUCCAUCCUAGAAUGAAAGCAUCAAGAGGGCAGUGGCCAGGCCAGCCUUGCUGACUUCUAUAUCUCAUAGUGUCUACACAGAGGAUGCUCUACAUUGGAGGAGGAGUUGGUGUUUCAAAAUCUAAAUGUUUUAUUUCUAGUAAGAGGGUAAAAAUAGCUAUGGCCAUCUCACUGCUACUUAGGUAGAGGGACUGAGGAGUACGCUUUCUGAUCUUUCCACUGCUCUGCGGCUUCCUGCAGGUAUUUUUGCUUUAAGAAAAGAGAGGGGAGUAAGAGCCCAUUUGCCCGGGACAACUGAAGUCUCAAAAGCUGAUGAUGUCCUCUUGAAUAAAGUUUUGGAAUUUUUCCCAUG
rnacentral:lncRNA from 10 species